GGCAAACCCAAAGCACUUCUUCCCAGUCAAGCUGCCCCUCUGGCCUUUUGUCAAAGAUAGAUAUGUUGUGUUAGAGGUUUUGAACAAAGAAAAUAGUGUGUGAUGUGAAGGUACUGUUAGAUUUGGCUUAUAGUUGUAAUGUAGAUUUGAAGCCUUGGAGUCUUAUUACAAACUCACGCAGUUAGCUGUUGUCAGUUUUGAUAUGUAUCCUUGUGAGUAAUGGCUGGGGAGAUGGUGGGCCAUAAAUUCAUUUAAGUGAUUGGAGGUUUGACAAAGUUGCUAGGGAACGGGGCAGCAGACCUGCAGAAAGAAACACACUAGAGUGCAUCCAGAAAGCCAGCCCUGCAGUAGCUUGCAGUUCUACACUAAUUUGCAACGAUAAUAAUAUUUUUAAAAUAUAUGCACACAGCUAGGCUUUAUUCAUACAUUCCUUUAGAGAUUGAUUGAUUUUCUUGACGGGCAGGCUUGGCUUAUGAAGCCACAUAGAAAAGUAUGGAACAAAAGAAUUUCCAUGUUCCACUUGUCAAAGUCAGUCUCAACAAGUUUUGCUUGGUAGACACAAGCUCUUCUCUGGCAUAAAUCAAAUCUCUUGCCUUUCUUAAGGAAUCAAAUGGCAUUCAUAGUCUGAUGCGUGCUGUACCUUGAGGGAGCCUCACAUGGAUUAACAAAGCAAAGCUUAGCAGUAAACUCUGCUUUUAUGUGAAGAGAGGUUUUUUGCAGAUUUGAUGAGGCUGUGAGUAAGAAGCAGGUCAAAGUUGGCAGUUCCUUUGGUAUGCACAGCUCUAAUUUCAAACAGCUUGUUUAUCCUGAAAUUAUGAUCCUUGUAAUUAUUUAAUACUGGGGCCAAUUGCACCAACCCACCAGCAAACUACUGAGGGUGGAAAAAACCCUCCAGCAUCUAAAUAGCUUCAGUGUAAGAUAUGAUGGAAAAAGUGUUUUGAAUGUCUUACUUCCAUCUUUAAAAAAUAAAAUAUUUGGCCUUUCCCUUUUUCUUUUUCUUUUUUUUUUUUUUUUUAAUGGUAAAUCUUACUGUUUCUGGUUCCUAGAGAUGUAGAAGAUGUCCUCUGGGUAGGCACUGCUAUUUCUGGCUACAAAGAGGGAAUGAAAGAGCUUUAGUGUUGUGUUCUAGUUCUUAAGAUUCAUGAUUUCCUCUUUCCCCAUUGUCUUGACACGAGGGGCUUCCAAAAUACUUAUCUGUGCCUCAUUAAUUAAUGCAGUGGCCUUUUGAGAGAAAAGCAUCACAUCAUUCAACUGCUUUUGCUGUCGUCGUUUUAGUUUCGUCUUUGUUUUUGUUUGCUUUGUUGUAUGUGUUGAGUUUUUCUAUUUUUUAUAUAAUUUUAAACCAUUAGGUAACAAUCCUACAACUAGAGUUUGAUUUUGUUCUGUGUUGUGGGUUUUUUUUCCUCCCUCCAGUUAAGUUUUGAAAACCUGCAGUAGCACAUGCUCAGUAUUGUUUAACUUCUUCUUAAAGGCUGUCUGAUAAAUCAUCUCGGAGCAGGGGCAGAUCAGAAGAAAGUUUUAUAACCAAAUGCAUAUCAAUCAAGUAAUACUUGCACCCCAUCAUUUGUUCUUCACUAAUGAGAAUAAAUCUGCAGCACUUAAAGUGCAGUGUUCUGCCUAGGAUGACUAGCCAAGAUGGAGCUGGGAGUAUUAACUGACAUCUGAAGCGUAAUUACCAUCCGUGAAGCUGAGUUUUUUCCCCAGGACUGCAGAGAAGCAACGCAGCUACUUGGGGGUUUUGGACUUGUUACAUGUUCUUAAGAGUUAUUUAUGUUCCAGUCAGUUCAGGAGUUCAUCUUCCUGGUAAAUCCAUUUGAUUAUAUUACCAUAAUAUGCCUAAAAAUAAAUCCUGCCUGCUUCCAGGGCUUUUGUUCUUGUGAUACGUAAUGAAGGCCCGCUCCAGUUUAGUUUCGGUGGCAGCUGGAUUGGGCCUCAUGUUGAAGCUUAUUCCUAAACUUUCUCAGACUGCACACACAUCCAGCGCUGUUGGCUUGUUUAUGCAGCUGGAAGUCUGCAUGUCUAAAAACGAAUUGCAUAAAAUUGAUGCUUUAUGCGUAAAAUUCUCAUUGGGGAAACUUACCGCUUCGUUGUGGAAUGAAGGCCUUGGUAGAAGUAAAGUAGUUGGGAAGCUGGUAAAGUUGGGCCUCAGCUCUUUGUGUGAGAUGUUAUGCAGCUUGAGAGGCUUGCGUUCUCAUUCAUGGCAUUUAUUCCAGCUUCAGUUCCUACUUCAGUACCUCCAACGCCCUGCAAAAACCUCAAGCUACCCUUCUUAAAAGCAUGUCUAUAUAGAUAAAAUAAAGACAAGAUGGCCUUUGAAAAAUCAGACUAAACUUAGCAUUUCUGCUGAUGGACAGAAGCUUCAUAUGUUACUUAAUUCAGUUCUAAUAUUAAUUUUAAAUAUGAGCCAUAUGCAUCUUAAAUGGGGAAAGAUGUGAAAAUUAGAAGUUGUUACUAUCUUUACUUGUUUCUCUGGAGCUCAUGGCUCUGUGGUCACUCUUCUGCAGCAUAAAUUAUGCUCAUUAUUGUUGUAGUAUUCAGAAGAAGCUGUAAAAUGUGGAUAGAAGUGGUUAAAGUGGUUUGUAAGUAGUCAAACAUCCCAAGUCCUUUACCAGCUCAACCCAGUUCUUAUGCACUUAGGUAAAUAAGUAGAAAGGCUUCUUGUUCAGGCUUGCUCUAUGUGAACCUGACUGUUUUGCUUGGCUGGCUACUAGGUAUUCUCUCUAUUAACCUUGCCACCCUUUUGUAACUGGUGCAUUUAAUUAUCAGUGGGAUGCUUUAAACAGGUAGGGGGACUGAUAAGAGCAGGUAGUCUGCUUGUUGAGGGAGGUCAAAAGCAACUGUUGACAUCUUGGCCUCCCUACUAGCCUUUAACAAGUGGGGCUCCGUGAGAAAGUCACCCUGUAACCAGAUAAGGUGCUGAUUAAAAUGCUGUUGUUGUGUGAUGCACCUCAGUAGCUGCAGUCUCCUAAAAUCAUUAGUUUAAAAGGAAAUAUUUUAUAUAACAUCAUACAAUGUAAAUAUAUAUGUAUUUUAAGGAGAGCAGCGAGAGGGAUGGAUCCCUAAGUCACCCCCCUCUAACCCAGUACAUUGUUUCAUUAAUGCGUGCUAGUUUUAUGAUUGGAAUACAUUGUAGCCUGGCCACCCAGACAGCGACAUCGACUGCUAAUAUUAACCGAGAACAAUGGUGUGGCCAUACUGACUGCGGGGAGGAUUACAGAACAUAAUGGGGCCUAUCCAAAAAUAAUGCUAAUACAGGACAAGCAACAGGAAGCAGCGGUAGACUCAGCAUUGCUCAGCUCCCAGACAAACCAUGGACUUACUUCACACAAUGGCAACUUCAGCACAUUAUGUAUUCACAGGACACUCAUUAUUCCAGCAAGUUUGACAGAUCAGAGACCAGGCUGAUUUACUGGAUGCUUAAGCACAUGCAUAGUUUGGAUAGUGGUACUUUGUGUCCAUCGCUUGGUAGGAAGGAGAAGCUGUGUCACAGAGAUGGUCUUCAGUUACUGGCUUGGCUUAUGCCAAACUUGAAUGGUGGGUGAAAGUCAUUCCUGUAAGUUGCCAGUGAAUUAAAUUUGUUUCUGUAUAUUCUUUCAAUGGCACUGAAGUGUUCACCAGCACUAACAGCAAUGGAGGAACUGCUCAAAACGAAGAGCGAAAGAACAUCUUGCUUGCAUUUUCACCUGGGCAUGUUGUGAUGAGACCUGCCUGUUUGAGGUUCAGCCUAGCAUUUAGUCAGGGACUCUGAUGCAUAAGAUCACUACAGCUUGCUUCCCCUAUAUAUGCAGGGUAAAGAGACUAACAACUUAUGGGUUGUUGCCUUAGCCUUAUGUAGACUGGCCCACAGAAUUGCUUCCUGAUUGUCUUCAAGAAAGAAUCAAGAGAAUUUUUUCCCUUUUUUCCUCCAAAUAUGUAAUUUCUCUGGAUGAGGAACCAGUUGUCUUCAGCUCCUGUGGAGGAGCACUCUGUUGUCAGGGUUCAGUGGCUGACUGUGAUAUGACGUGGUGACAUGUCUGUGUGGCGUCAUCGUGACCUGCCAUGUGGCAGCAGGAGCACACAAGUGAGAGCCCUGCUGACUUUUAGGGGAAGUGGUUUUGUGACUAGCCUUAAAUGUGCUCAGAGGCCCCCUCCUUCCUGGCUUUUGGGCGCUCUGAACUACUAUGUUUCUCCAUUCUUUGUCUCAUCCCCUUCUAGCUGAAGGGCAGAGAGACUGCAGCAGCUCCCUGAAUGUACUGUGCCCCUGUGAUAGUGUGCCCAGCUCCUAGCCUUCUUCCUAGUGGUGCAGGUGGAGACUGAGGACUGUUCUGAGAUGAAUCUUCACAGCUGUGCCUGACUGGGAGUACACGAG
rnacentral:lncRNA from 1 species